UUAAGAGUUAAAAAGAUCUGACCAAUGAGAUGCGAUCCAACAAACAAGAAUGUUAUAUAGAAAACCCAUUUUACCUUUGGACAUUGAAUCAAGCAAUAGUCAGCAAGCAAUUAGAAACAUCAAGCAAGGCAUCAAAUAAAGAUGGCCAUAUCCAAACAAGAAAAUCCCAUAGCUAUUAGUCUCUCUGUCUUCUUAUGCACCAG
rnacentral:lncRNA from 1 species